UCACUUACCUGGACGGGGUCAAUGGAUGAUCAAGAAGGUCUAUGGCCUAGGUUGGUGACCUCCAUUGCACUUUGGAGGGGUGUCCGCCUAAGGUCGGCCCAAGUGGUCGAGCCUACGUCAUAAUUUGUGGUAGUGGAGGCCUGCGUUCGCGCGGCCUCUGC
rfam:Helianthus annuus linkage group 8, whole genome shotgun sequence.